GCCUGCAGCUCGAUCACCCUGAGACUCCCAGCUGGCAGCCCACUGGAGCUCAGCAGGCGUGAGCCUGGCCAGUACCUGGAUGGGAGACCUCCUGGGAAAAACUAGGGCUGCUGCUGGAG
rnacentral:rRNA from 1 species